GCCAGGCGUGGUGGCGUAUGCUUGUAAUCCCAGAGACUCGGGAGGCUGAGGCAGGAGGAUCAUAAGUUCAGAGCCAGCCUCAAGUGCUUAGUGAGGCCCUAAGCAACUUAGUGAGAACCUGUCUCAA
rnacentral:sRNA from 1 species